rnacentral:rRNA from 1 species
GACGAACGCUGGCGGCGUGCCUAAUACAUGCAAGUUGAGCGAUGAAGAUUGGUGCUUGCACCAAUUUGAAGAGCAGCGAACGGGUGAGUAACGCGUGGGGAAUCUGCCUUUGAGCGGGGGACAACAUUGGGAAACGAAUGCUAAUACCGCAUAACAACUUUAAACAUAAGUUUUAAGUUUGAAAGAUGCAAUUGCAUCACUCAAAGAUGAUCCCGCGUUGUAUUAGCUAGUUGGUGAGGUAAAGGCUCACCAAGGCGAUGAUACAUAGCCGACCUGAGAGGGUGAUCGGCCACAUUGGGACUGAGACACGGCCCAAACUCCUACGGGAGGCAGCAGUAGGGAAUCUUCGGCAAUGGACGAAAGUCUGACCGAGCAACGCCGCGUGAGUGAAGAAGGGUUUCGGAUCGUAAAACUCUGUUGGUAGAGAAGAACGUUGGUGAGAGUGGAAAGCUCAUCAAGUGACGGUAACUACCCAGAAAGGGACGGCUAACUACGUG